CAAAAACAUGUCCUUUUGUUUAUUAAUUUAAGGUCUAACCUGCCCAAUGAGUAAUUGAAUGGCCGCGGUAUUUUAACUGUGCUAAGGUAGCAUAAUCAUUUGUCUUUUAAUUGAAGGCUGGAAUGAAAGGUUGGACGAGAUAUUUACUUUCUUUAAUCUAAUAAUGGAAUUUAAUUUUUUAGUUAAAAAGCUAAAAUUUUUUUAGGGGACGAGAAGACCCUAUAGAUCUUAAUAAAAUAACUUUUUAUUAAUUUAGGUGUUAAGUUAAAUUUAAUAGGGAAUUUUAUUUGAUUGGGGCGAUUUUGGAAUUUUAUUAACUUCUAAUUUAAUAUAUUCAUUAAUUAAUGUUUUUUUGAUCCUUUACUAGUGAUUUUAAGAUUAAGUUACCUUAGGGAUAACAGCGUAAUUUUUCCAGAGAGUUCAUAUUAAUGGAAGAGUUUGCGACCUCGAUGUUGGAUUAAAAUAAGUAGUUGGUGUAGUGGCUGAUUUACUAGGUCUGUUCGACCUUUAAAUUUUUACAUGAUCUGAGUUCA
rnacentral:rRNA from 1 species